AUUGAACGCUGGCGGCAGGCUUAACACAUGCAAGUCGAGCGGAGCGAGGGUGCUUGCACCUUAGCUUAGCGGCGGACGGGUGAGUAAUGCUUAGGAAUCUGCCUAUUAGUGGGGGACAACAUUCCGAAAGGAAUGCUAAUACCGCAUACGCCCUACGGGGGAAAGCAGGGGAUCUUCGGACCUUGCGCUAAUAGAUGAGCCUAAGUCGGAUUAGCUAGUUGGUGGGGUAAAGGCCUACCAAGGCGACGAUCUGUAGCGGGUCUGAGAGGAUGAGCCGCCACACUGGGACUGAGACACGGCCCAGACUCCUACGGGAGGCAGCAGUGGGGAAUAUUGGACAAUGGGGGGAACCCUGAUCCAGCCAUGCCGCGUGUGUGAAGAAGGCCUUAUGGUUGUAAAGCACUUUAAGCGAGGAGGAGGCUUACCUAGUUAAUACCUGGGAUAAGUGGACGUUACUCGCAGAAUAAGCACCGGCUAACUCUGUGCCAGCAGCCGCAGUAAGAC
rnacentral:rRNA from 1 species